CAUGCAAGUCGAGCGGUAAGGCCCUUCGGGGUACACGAGCGGCGAACGGGUGAGUAACACGUGGGUGAUCUGCCUCGCACUUCGGGAUAAGCCUGGGAAACUGGGUCUAAUACCGGAUAUGACCUGCUGUCGCAUGGCGGUGGGUGGAAAGAUUUAUCGGUGCGAGAUGGGCCCGCGGCCUAUCAGCUUGUUGGUGGGGUAAUGGCCUACCAAGGCGACGACGGGUAGCCGGCCUGAGAGGGCGACCGGCCACACUGGGACUGAGACACGGCCCAGACUCCUACGGGAGGCAGCAGUGGGGAAUAUUGCACAAUGGGCGAAAGCCUGAUGCAGCGACGCCGCGUGAGGGAUGACGGCCUUCGGGUUGUAAACCUCUUUCGACAGGGACGAAGCGUAAGUGACGGUACCUGUAGAAGAAGCACCGGCCAACUACGUGCCAGCAGCCGCGGUAAUACGUAGGGUGCGAGCGUUGUCCGGAAUUACUGGGCGUAAAGAGCUUGUAGGCGGUUUGUCGCGUCGUCCGUGAAAACUUGGGGCUCAACCCCAAGCUUGCGGGCGAUACGGGCAGACUUGAGUACUGCAGGGGAGACUGGAAUUCCUGGUGUAGCGGUGAAAUGCGCAGAUAUCAGGAGGAACACCGGUGGCGAAGGCGGGUCUCUGGGCAGUAACUGACGCUGAGAAGCGAAAGCGUGGGUAGCGAACAGGAUUAGAUACCCUGGUAGUCCACGCCGUAAACGGUGGGUACUAGGUGUGGGUUUCCUUCCACGGGAUCCGUGCCGUAGCUAACGCAUUAA
rnacentral:rRNA from 1 species